rnacentral:rRNA from 1 species
UACAGAGGUCCCAAGCGUUGUUCGGAUUUAUUGGGCGUAAAGGGUGCGUAGGCGGCGGAGUAAGUUGGGUGUGAAAUCCCGGGGCUCAACCUCGGAAUUGCAUUCAAUACUGCUUCGCUUGAGCACUGGAGAGGAGGCUGGAAUUUACGGUGUAGCAGUGAAAUGCGUAGAUAUCGUAAGGAAGGCCGGUGGCGAAAGCGAGCCUCUGGACAGUAACUGACGCUGAGGAGCGAAAGCGUGGGGAGCGAACAGG